rnacentral:snoRNA from 1 species
UCAAAUGAUGACAAUUCAAUUUCCUUUUGGUGUCUUUAAGAUCGCAAGAUCAGUGUGAGCACAUGAUUUCUCAAAAAAUAGACUACAACGGUAUCUGAUU